UCGUUUUUUGGCCGUCUUGUGUUAUAAAAUGCGCCGCUUUCCGGGUAUAGCCCGGUGAGCACAAACCCACACACGUGUCGACACGAUGACCUGGGUGCCUUCAGCUCGAAGCUGCUGGUUGGUCAUUGGGAUACGUGGAGGCCUAACC
rnacentral:misc_RNA from 1 species